rnacentral:lncRNA from 1 species
UACUAAAUGCAGCGAGUGCAUGUUUUGGGAGUGAUUCAACACAAUUUCCAUCAAGCAACUUCUUUGCAGCAGCUAGUGAAGGGAUUUGGGAUGAUGGAGCUGCCUGUGGAAGACAAUAUUUGAUAAGUUGCAUUAGCUCUGUUUUGCCUAAAGCUUGUAAACCAGGAGAAACUAUUCAGAUCAAAAUCGUUGACCGCGCACAAAAUAUAACUUCAACACCAACAAGACAAGGAACCACUAUGGUCCUUUCUACUGCUGCUCUUGCUGCAAUUGCUGAUUCAAAUGCCCCUUCUCUUAAUAUCGAUUUCCGACAGUAAGUAAUCAUUCAUCCUCUCAUUCAAUUUAAUUAUCGUUUUCCUCAAAAAAAAGAGUAACUAAACUAAGUUUGAUUACAUGUGCUAAACAAAGUAAUUAUUACUACUACUACUACAAUUAUUGGAAAGAGAUAAAGGAAACGACAACUUUAACGUGACUUGUGCACAUGUAAGAAGUACUUUCUGCUUUUCAAUUUAUUUGUGUGCUUUUAAUUUAAAAAGAGAAAGAAAUAUUAAAAACACACUUAAAUUACGCGUGAAUUAUUAGUUUUAUUUUUAAAUUAUUGACAACUUUAAAAACAUCUCUUUACUUGACUGACCAAACUUUAAAAACACUCUCAAUCUUGCAACACGAGUGAAAUACACCCCUAAAUUCUUGUCAACUUUAGAGGUGUUUUCAGCACUUCUUUCGUCUUUUUAUUAAGAGUGUCAUGCUUCUACAAGAGUUUGAAACCAAUUGAUAUGUCAUGUAGGUGAUCGGGGGUGUAUCUAAGUUUAGUUAGUUAAGUAAAGGAGUGUUUUUAAGACGGUCAAUUGUUCAGGGACGAAACUAAUCAUUUGCGUCAAGUUGAGGGUGUUUUCAAUACUUCUCUCUUAAAAAUAAAAUAUGUAAAAUGUAUGUUAAUUUUAUGAUCUCAAAUGAAAGUAAAUAAACAAAUUGAAACACAAAAAAUACUUUAAUUAGGUUUAAGUAGUAUGGAGGAAUCUCAACCUAUAUUGUUGUGAUCGAGUGUUGCAUCAAAUCAAUUCAAAUUAAUUAUGGUCAAGUCGUAGCUAUAAAUUGAAGUGAUUGAUACGUCGAACCUAACACCUGUAGUAAUUGCAGUGGCACUGCUGCUACCCCUCAAUUUUGAUGCAAGUUGUACAUAAUAUUGACCCCGUCAAUAGACUGGAAUGACAAAAAAAAAAAAAAGGGCCCCAACUAUGAAAAAGAUGGAAAUGUGUUUAAAAGGGUAUUUAAGGAAAAGAAAUAAUGAAUGCAAAUCCUAUAUAAAUAAUCCUUUAAGAAAAUUAUGCAUUUCAAAUUUUGAACAACAUUUCAUAAAUUUAAAUGUUCUAAUUUUAACAUUGACAGAUAAGAACUCUUUGUUACUGCAGGGUCUAGAAGGAAAAAAAAACUAGUAUUUUCUUGACGCACCGUUUGGAUAAUAUUUGGUUGAAGUUGAAAAAAAGCAAAUAAACAAGUGUUUGAAGUUGAAAAGAAGCAUUUGGAAGGAAAAAAAUUGUAUUUAGACGUUAAUUUUACUUGGAAUUUUUUCUUCGAAAUUUUGGAAGUAAAUCACCAUUCACUUGAAAUGGCCCUUAAUUUUUAAAAAUUAGAAUUGAGAAGCAAAAAUACAAAAAACGAUCGUUUGAUUUGUAAAUAGUAGUACUUCAUUAUUUGCAAAUAAUUAGUGUAUAUGUACCAAAUGCAACAAUAUGUUGAGCUUGCACUUUUUACGUACCUGGGUUAUCAUUUAGUGAAUCGAUUGUAUAUUAGUAAUUAGCCAUCCAUUAUAUUUGAAACAAAUCUGUAUUUGUUCACUUUAGCAUAUCUAGAAAGGGACAAAAAAAAUUAUGUUUAAUUUUUAGCUUUAAUUGUUCACUGAAAUACAAUUUCCAAGUCUAUUAAAAAUUACUAUGUAGUAAUUAGUACGAGUAUCAUGGUAAAAUAUACAUUUCAUUUGUUAUUCUUUAACAGGGAGUUUGAUAAAUCCAUUAAAAAAGUAAAUGUGAAUGGAGGGAGUACUUCUUAUACUAUAUGCUUGGUGUAUGCAUCUUAAGGGAUCAUUUGAUACAUGAACUACAUAAUUAUCUUAAUAUAAUAGUCUUGGAAUUAUUCCUAGACUAAAUUUAUCUCACCUAAGAGAUAGAAUAAAAUAAUUUCAAGUUGAAUGUGAUAAGGUGGGAUAUUUUAGGAUUAAUCCUGAGAUUAAAUUUAUAUUGUAUUUGAUUGAUGGAAUAAUUUAUAUUGUCAUUUGUCACCAAACACAAUAUAAAUUUUAUCUCAUAAUUAAUUCUAAAAUGUCCCACCUUAUUUCACGUAUAAGAAUGUUAGUCAAUGUCUCAUCAAUGUGUUGGAAGUUAGAAAAGUUGAUCCAAUAAAUUUGAUGAAGUCAAUGUCGAGAUAAUUUUGAACAUGGAACAUCAUUUUAUGAAGUUAAGAAAAUACAGUAACAUAUAAAGGCAAACGUGCAUCGAUAGAAAACAAGGCAAGUUGUUGCUACACCUAAUAAUAAUCGGCUGGAACGUGUUUUGAGAGAAAUAAAUUAGUAUUGGCUCAAUUUAUUUGAAAAAAUAUUAGAUUAUUGUGUUUCAUUUGAAAACAUUUGAUGAUUAGGUGAAUUAUGGUUUAAAAAAAAUCAGCAAAUUUUAUUUGACUUGCUAAACUAUGGAUAACACUAAUAUAGCAGCCUUAACGAUACACCAAUUUGUGCAAUAGUUUGAAGAGUAACUUGUUGAUGAAUAAUAUAAAUUAAAAAUAGAGAACAAUAAGAUCAACCGCUCUCGAUUUGGCCGAUCCGAUUAGUUUGAAAAUUUAAGAUUGAAUAUCUAAAGACCUUUUUAGAUUGAGCAACUUUCACAGAUAGCAAACAUAAAAAUCAUAUUUGUAUGUUAUAAUUAUAGUUUGCAUAAUUGCAUUCCAUAGCAAACUUUAUGUUUGUUAUGGCUAUUAAUAUGUAUAUUUCGCUAUACAUUUAUACAAAAGAAACAAUUGUAUAAUAUGUUUCUGUAUACAUAUACAAAAACAAUCAAUUGUAUAAUUUGUGUUUGUAUAAAGCGAUAAAAGAGAGAAAGACAAAAGAAAACUGAGCAGGGAAAGAUCUGUAUUUGUAUAUUCAUAAGUGUAUAUGAUGAAAAUAUAUGUAUUUAUAUUUGUAUAUACAAUUUUCUCUCGCUUUAUACAAACACAAUGUAUACAAUUGUGUUUGUAUAAAGUGAGAGAGGCGAGUGAGAGUAGCGUGCGAGAUCAGGGAGAAGGGAGAGAGGGGAACAAAAAUAUAUGUAUAUAUACAAUUUUCUCUCGCUUUAUAAAAACACCAAUCUUAAAUCUUAGCAGAAUCUUAGUGCAUCGUACUACAAGCUUAUAUAUUUCAUUCUGAAUGAUAUAUCUUUCUUUUUUCGUUGUACUAAACGCAGCGAGUGCAUGUUUUGGGAGUGAUUCAACACAAUUUCCAUCAAGCAACUUCUUUGCAGCAGCUAGUGAAGGGAUUUGGGAUGAUGGAGCUGCCUAUGGAAGACAAUAUUUGAUAAGUUGCAUUAGCUCUGUUCUGCCUAAAGCUUGUAUACCAGGAGAAACUAUACAGAUCAAAAUCGUUGACCGCGCACAAAAUCUAACUUCAACACCAACAAGACAAGGAACCACUAUGGUCCUUUCUACUGCUGCUCUUGCAGCAAUUGCUGAUUCAAAUGCCCC